GAUGAACGCUGGCGGCGUGCCUAAUACAUGCAAGUCGAGCGAAUGGAUUGAGAGCUUGCUCUUAUGAAGUUAGCGGCGGACGGGUGAGUAACACGUGGGUAACCUGCCCAUAAGACUGGGAUAACUCCGGGAAACCGGGGCUAAUACCGGAUAACAUUUGAACCGCAUGGUUCGAAAUUGAAAGGCGGCUUCGGCUGUCACUUAUGGAUGGACCCGCGUCGCAUUAGCGAGUUGGUGAGGUAACGGCUCACCAAGGCAACGAUGCGUAGCCGACCUGAGAGGGUGAUCGGCCACACUGGGACUGAGACACGGCCCAGACUCCUACGGGAGGCAGCAGUAGGGAAUCUUCCGCAAUGGACGAAAGUCUGACGGAGCAACGCCGCGUGAGUGAUGAAGGCUUUCGGGUCGUAAAACUCUGUUGUUAGGGAAGAACAAGUGCUAGUUGAAUAAGCUGGCACCUUGACGGUACCUAACCAGAAAGCCACGGCUAACUACGUGCCAGCCGCCGCGGUAA
rnacentral:rRNA from 1 species